AAAAAAAAUCUGAAACCCUCUUUCCCUUUAUCUUCCCCGAAGCUCUUCCCUCUUUCCCUCUAUCUUCCUUCUUUUCCCUCUCUCUUCCCCGAGCUCUAUCUUCCCUCUUUCCCUCUAUCUUCCUUUUUUUCCCCUUCUUUUCCUUCUAUCUUCCCCGAAGCUCUCUUCUCCGAAGCCCUCUUUCUCUCUCUCUCACUGCUGUGUUGCCUCUGCCAGGCCCGAACGACCAUCAUCCCAUCGUCGGAGCAGUACGCGCGCCAGCCCAAUCGAACCGUCGGCCCUCGAAACGUCGACCCCCUUGAGCUCACCACUAUACGCGUUGCCCAGGGCUGUCGACCAACGGUCCGAAGCCGUCUGCCUCUUGUAUUGCUAUAUGUUUGUUGGCUCUUAUAUUUCCAUUUUUAGUUUGAUUAACUUCCAAUCUACAGAGAGAUGUUUUUGCUCGUACAACUAAGAAGAGGUGUUGGUUUCUUUCUUCUGACAACAUAAAGUCUUUAGUUUGUAUGGAUUUUAGGUAAGUGAAAAUAAAAGCUUUGAUAACUUCUUUUUGCCACUUUGAAUGCUUUGUUUAUGAUUUUCUUAUAACUCUGGGCUCAACAAAUUAAUCAGUCAUCAAAUAUAUAUAUAUGUAUUUGUAGUACGUAAAGAAAUAGUAUAUAUAUAUAUAUCAUGAACUUUGGGUAAUGUAGAGUAUUUGAUUUUUGUGUAUGUACAUAUACAAUAAUUUUCCUUGGAAAAAUGCACAGAGCAAGACCUAUAGAGAAGAGUAUGUUUUGAAUUAUUUUUGGUGAAGAGUAUGUUGGGUCAUUUCCUUACCAAAUUUUCUACACUUGAUUUUCUUCUGGAAAUUUUCCAACAAUUCUAGGCACCACCUGCUACCAGUCUAGAGUUUCAUUAUUGUACCAAGCUAAAGCCCUACAUAGUUGAUUUGGCUUGUUUUGUAUAGAUGUCCAAGAAGAGCAAUAGGUGAGCAAGAAGCGAGGAACAGGUGAGUGAAAAAUUGAUUGACUUUGAAGCUUUUCCUUUGGUGUUGAGUUAUGAAAUAAACUACUGCAUCUUUAAACUAAAAGAUUAACAAGAUGACUAAAGAUAUCUCAGUGAAAAAAGAGUUAAACUAUGUAUGAUGGCUAUAUAUUAUGUAUGUAAGUGCAAUGGGGUAGUUCAUAUGGAGGUGUGUGUGAAUAGUGGAUUGGUUGGAAUAUAUGAUGGUGUGGUGAGGUUAUGCAAGUUAGGCGUGUGUGUGUUAGAGGUGUUGUGGGAUUAUGCAGGUUGGAUUAAUAUAUUGGAAAGGGUAGAACAAUUAGUGGUAUAUGAACAAAAGUGUGAAAAGAAAAAUUGGCAAAGACAAGGGCUAUUUAAUUGCUAGUGGAAGAAAAAGUGAAACAUGACAAGACAAGAACUAUUUGACAAUUUAACCCAAUUCCUAGUAUUAUUAGUCAAUGCUCAUUAUUUGUUUAUGUUCUAGUCAAUACAUAAAUUAUAUUGCAUUUAUCUUAUAAGAAUAUUGCUUUUAUUAUAAUAUUUUUUUGUACAUUUGCUUGCUUACAUUAUAUGAGCAUUGCUUUUAUUAUAUUAUUCAUAUAGUUGAUCCAUUAUUAUGCUAAUAGUAAACAAAACUAUAAGAUAACAUGAACAUAACAUGUGAUUAUUGUAGGCAUUUACUUUUACGUGCUAGGUGUAGACUUUAGGCCUUUAUUAGUUUCUUUUCUAGUCAUCAUAUUGCUUUUAUCUUAUAUGAUCAUCACUUUUAUUAUAAUAAUUGUUUUGUACCUACUUGAUUGCUUGCUUUUAUUAGAAAAAUAUGAAGAGUUGCUUUUUUUUUUAUUGAUGGGAAACUUGUGAAGACCCUCAAAAUCAAGAAUUGUCAUAGAAAUUAUUGAUGCUAAAACAGAUACUAGUAAAAGAUAAGAACUAAUGCCAAAUUCCAUAAAGAGUGAUGUAGAAUGGAGAGGUUUGGUUAAACAAAAUUAUAUCAAAGAACAUAUGAUACAUUUAUAACUAGUUGAUUUAAUGUUUAUAUAUGUAACUAGUUUAUAUAAAAUUAGUUGCCACUAAUAAGUUUUGUAGUCAUUUUUUUUGAGAUGGUACUCCAUCAACAAGUGGAGGACGGUCCAAUAUUCUUCAUCUUUCAAAGCUUGCUAUUGAUUAAAAGAGGUCUAUAUUGAGAUGCAUUUCUUUGGCGCAAUACUAGACAACAUUGACAGUUGAAGUUUUUAGAAUAAAAAAUAUAUUUCCCUAACAUUGUAUACAUUUCUUGUUUAAUAUUUGGUGAUGAUAAAAUUUGAUUGUAGUAUAAACUAUCAUGUAAUAUGAUUUUGUAAGUCGAGUAGACUAAAUACUGAAAUGAUAUUUUUGAGUAAUUAAUAAAAAAAUUAUUUUGUUGUA